rnacentral:misc_RNA from 1 species
CUGAGUUUACAACUCCCAAACCCCUGUGAACAUACCACUUGUUGCCUCGGCGGAUCAGCCCGCUCCCGGUAAAACGGGACGGCCCGCCAGAGGACCCCUAAACUCUGUUUCUAUAUGUAACUUCUGAGUAAAACCAUAAAUAAAUCA